UGAUUUACAUUUGAGUGAGUGGCGAACUGGUGAGUAACACGUGGGAAACCUGCCCAGAAGCGGGGGAUAACACCUGGAAACAGAUGCUAAUACCGCAUAACAACUUGGACCGCAUGGUCCGAGUUUGAAAGAUGGCUUCGGCUAUCACUUUUGGAUGGUCCCGCGGCGUAUUAGCUAGAUGGUGGGGUAACGGCUCACCAUGGCAAUGAUACGUAGCCGACCUGAGAGGGUAAUCGGCCACAUUGGGACUGAGACACGGCCCAAACUCCUACGGGAGGCAGCAGUAGGGAAUCUUCCACAAUGGACGAAAGUCUGAUGGAGCAACGCCGCGUGAGUGAAGAAGGGUUUCGGCUCGUAAAACUCUGUUGUUAAAGAAGAACAUAUCUGAGAGUAACUGUUCAGGUAUUGACGGUAUUUAACCAGAAAGCCACGGCUAACUACGUGCCAGCAGCCGCGGUAAUACGUAGGUGGCAAGCGUUGUCCGGAUUUAUUGGGCGUAAAGCGAGCGCAGGCGGUUUUUUAAGUCUGAUGUGAAAGCCUUCGGCUCAACCGAAGAAGUGCAUCGGAAACUGGGAAACUUGAGUGCAGAAGAGGACAGUGGAACUCCAUGUGUAGCGGUGAAAUGCGUAGAUAUAUGGAAGAACACCAGUGGCGAAGGCGGCUGUCUGGUCUGUAACUGACGCUGAGGCUCGAAAGUAUGGGUAGCAAACAGGAUUAGAUACCCUGGUAGUCCAUACCGUAAACGAUGAAUGCUAAGUGUUGGAGGGUUUCCGCCCUUCAGUGCUGCAGCUAACGCAUUAAGCAUUCCGCCUGGGGAGUACGGCCGCAAGGCUGAAACUCAAAGGAAUUGACGGGGGCCCGCACAAGCGGUGGAGCAUGUGGUUUAAUUCGAAGCUACGCGAAGAACCUUACCAGGUCUUGACAUACUAUGCAAAUCUAAGAGAUUAGACGUUCCCUUCGGGGACAUGGAUACAGGUGGUGCAUGGUUGUCGUCAGCUCGUGUCGUGAGAUGUUGGGUUAAGUCCCGCAACGAGCGCAACCCUUAUUAUCAGUUGCCAGCAUUAAGUUGGGCACUCUGGUGAGACUGCCGGUGACAAACCGGAGGAAGGUGGGGAUGACGUCAAAUCAUCAUGCCCCUUAUGACCUGGGCUACACACGUGCUACAAUGGAUGGUACAACGAGUUGCGAACUCGCGAGAGUAAGCUAAUCUCUUAAAGCCAUUCUCAGUUCGGAUUGUAGGCUGCAACUCGCCUACAUGAAGUCGGAAUCGCUAGUAAUCGCGGAUCAGCAUGCCGCGGUGAAUACGUUCCCGGGCCUUGUACACACCGCCCGUCACACCAUGAGAGUUUG
rnacentral:rRNA from 1 species